GACGAACGCUGGCGGCGUGCCUAAUACAUGCAAGUAGAACGCUGAAGGAGGAGCUUGCUUCUCUGGAUGAGUUGCGAACGGGUGAGUAACGCGUAGGUAACCUGCCUGGUAGCGGGGGAUAACUAUUGGAAACGAUAGCUAAUACCGCAUAAGAGUAGAUGUUGCAUGACAUUUGCUUAAAAGGUGCAAUUGCAUCACUACCAGAUGGACCUGCGUUGUAUUAGCUAGUUGGUGGGGUAACGGCUCACCAAGGCGACGAUACAUAGCCGACCUGAGAGGGGGAUCGGCCACACUGGGACUGAGACACGGCCCAGACUCCUACGGGAGGCAGCAGUAGGGAAUCUUCGGCAAUUGACGGAAGUCUGACCGAGCAACGCCGCGUGAGUGAAGAAGGGUUUCGGAUCGUAAAGCUCUGUUGUAAGAGAAGAACGAGUGUGAGAGUGGAAAGUUCACACUGUGACGGUAGCUUACCAGAAAGGGACGGCUAACUACGUG
rnacentral:rRNA from 1 species